UAUUAUUAUCCUCUUCAUUAUCCUUAUCAUAUUUUUAUCAUUUCAAUUCUUAUUGUUUUCAUUUCUACUAAAGAGCUUGGCAGACCUUCAUAUUUGGCCGUUAUCAUCCUCAUGAGGAGGAAAACAGUUUCAUUUGGGCUUUUGCUCUAAAUGAUGCUCGUCGAUCAUGUCGAAUUACACAACUAAAUAAGCUUCAACUUUGUUUCGUUUUAGAUCUUAGCGGGAUUUGGGAACCGCAUCUGUUGUUGCUGUUGCUACCUUAUAACCUGUACAUGCUUUAUCGCGAUCCAGGCUCUUGGUCAUUUCCUGAGCCACAGUGGACUGCUGGACUGGAAGACGUUCAUGGCCUUGGGUUGGCUGGCAUCACCAUAGAUGAUUGGUGGCUUGACAAAACGAGAUCCAUAUGAUUGUACCCAUUCAUUGGCGUCUUGGAAGUGAAGGAAAAACCAGUUAAUUUUUACCCAAAGUACUUAACCACGUCGUUUCUCUGAAACAUUAGACGCACGAUCUGAGCCAAAUGAUACUAAAUAAGAUGGCUGAGGCUUAACUGGAGACAUUUAGAUUCAAUCUGGACGUGAUCAGAUCCUUCACGUUCUACAAGCUGGCGUACAAUCUGAGACUAAUGGGAAGACCAAUACCUUGUUACCGGGUUAAUAGGCCGAAAAACCACAUGCUAGUUUAUUAGGACUAUUUUACUAGCGGGAAUUUGGCUAUCAGGACGGCAAUCCGCCAUGAUGAUAUGUAUUAAAUUGCAUAUCAGACCCCAAAUGGAACAUGGUAGGUAGUUAGAGGUUAUCCACGUGACCGAACACGCUACAGACUCAUCCGCGGGUCCCGUAUGUUAGAUUUCCUCUAUAAGUACCAUGAUCUUGAAAACAUAAGCCUAAGCUUUGAUCUGUCGAGAGAAAGUUGUGUCUAUUUAGGAGACCAUCCCCCAUCUACAAACAUAAUUAGAACCCAGUUUCACUUCAAUGCCCUCGUACUAAUUGUCAUUGACUCCGCGAGGUUCACUUGGUUAUUUUACAGGAUGUCACGUCUUGCUAUGAAUCCUAAUAGCAAUCUGGUGCUUGAUGCUAGACUGAUCGAGAUAGUAAAAAGAUAGUAGCUUAUUUCUACAAAUGCCAAGUGGGCUACAAACCAAAAUACCUUCCAAAUAACGAAGAGGAAUAAGAAAGCUUAGUCAAUGAAGACGUAGAGUCUCUUGUGUUACCGAGCGAUAAUGUAAUGUGCAUCGCAGUAGCCAGUUAUGUGUCAAUACGAUGUGUUUGACUGAUGCUUAGUAUAAGGAGAAAAGGCAGGGACUAAAGAACCUGCAACCUAGUUUUGUAGCUAUGAUAUGAACUAUUCUCUUUAUAACCUUUAAUCUUAUUAUCAUUCGAUAAGAUAUAAUCGUGAAACUUUAAUUA